GGUGAGGUGUCCGAGUGGCCGAAGGAUCUGGUCUUGAAAACCAGCGUACGUUCGCGCGUACCGUGGGUUCGAAUCCCACCCUCACCG
rnacentral:tRNA from 1 species